CCGACACGCCGCCCGUUCCGUCCCCGCUGGGCCGCAGCAGCAGGUUUCCGCACUCGGGGUAGCGCUCCAGGAGCAGCUGCGCCUCCAGCCGGCUCACCUUCAGGAAGCAGCUGGGGCGGACGCGUCCCUCACUCCGCGCAGGCCCCGCCCCUGGGGCGCGGCCACACCCUCCCGCGGAGCCCCGCCCCCGGCACGUGGACCUCGUCCCGGAAGACGGGAUUCCCCGCAGACCCCGCCGGCCGCCCCUCGGGCCCCGCGCCUCCGCCCGCCGCCGUCCCGGGGCUGCGCGGCCCGGCGGGGCACUCACGAGGGCACCUCGAGCGCGCGGCGCGCCUCCUCUUUGGCCAGGGCCUCGGCCAUCAUGUACAGGUGUCCGGGCAGCAGGGUCAGGUUGGACGGGAUGCGGAGCUGAGGGGCGAUGAGGCACCCGAGGGCGCCUGGACGUCAGGGCACGGGCGGCUGGUGCCCGCGUCACCGAGGGGACACCCUGAGGUCGGGGUGCGGGCCCAGGCAGCCAGGAUGGGAACCCGGGCCUGGGGGCUCCAGAGCGACCCUGCGCCUCCUCAGGGCAGGGGUGAAGAGACUUCAGGGAGGCGAAGGACAGAUCAGAUGCUCGAAUGUAGGCUCUCAAAACUCUACAGGCUGCGGGGCCAGACAGGGGACAAAGGACUAAAGCAGAGAUCAGGAAUGUUGACAAAAACUCCUGGCUCCUAAAUAAUGGCAGAUCACUUUCCCAGUUUUAACACUGUUGGCAAAAACAGAAGCCGUUGCGGGCUGCGGGCUGCGUUGGGCUCAGAGGCCGCCAGCGUGAGACCCGUGUAGGAGACUCUGGGGGCCUGGUUGAGGACUGUGGCGUCGAAGGACAAAAGAGGGUCCCCGAGGAGGCACCCAGUCUUACCUCUACCACCGUCAGGAUGAAGCCUUUCCACAUCUCCCGAGACUCCAGGCUCUCUACCUGCGGAGGGACAGAAAAAGAGCCCAUGGCGAUGAGCCUCGGUCAAUUCAUCUGUGAAAUGGGAACGAGGAAUAAUAGCCACUGUUUUCCAAGGGUUCUUUUGAAGAUUAAACGAGUUGGGACCCGGGUUACUUUAGGAUGUCUGGACAUCAUAAGUCCUCAGGAAAGUGGGAUAGAAUUCUUUAAUGUUACUGCGUCAAGUUUGAAAACAAUACAAAUCAGAUCCUGUAUCUCCAAUGCUCUAAACCCUCCCCGGGCUCCCGUCUGCUUUGGGGUAAAAGCCCAAGUCCUCCCUAGGGCCCACAAAGCCCUGCACCCCACGCCCUGUCCCCUCCCUGCCCUCCUCCCUCCGUCUCUCCCCCUCCCUCCCGCUGCCCAGCAGCCUUCCGCUCCUCCCCCCUCCCCCCUCCUCUUCUUCCUCCCGGCUCUUCAGACUCACAAGAGCCUUUGCACAGGUAUCUACGAGCCGGUUCCCUCACCUGCGGGUCUCGGUGAGGCUUUCCCCGGUCGCCCUGUCUAACAUGGUAACCCUGAGCGCGCUGCGUCCAUUCCCUAGCGCUUUUUCCAAGCGUCUCCUGCCGCCUGCCCCUCCAGAUACGUUUUACGCACUUGUAUUGUGUACUGUGUGCCUCGCCCGCUCGACUGCAAACUCCACAACGGGGAGGAGUUUUAAGUGUCCUGUUCACUGCAACCGGCAGAAUGUCUGGCACACGGGAGGCGCUCGAUAACCUUAGCUGCAAGGCGAAGAACCCAAGGCCUAGAGAAGUCAAGUGACUCGGCCAGUGUCACCAACCCAGCGGUAGCCUCCGUGCGACUCCAUGCUAGUGUGUGUUAGUGGUAAGUGUGACAAGGAGGGAGGGGCCUACCUUGAACCUGAUCUCCUGGUUCCGGAGGACCAGGCUGAAAUGGAUGCCUGGGUCUCGGGAGCUUCCCCAGGGUGGGUCAUCUGUGAGCUUCACAAGUGCCGUUAGGUCUAACUUCUCCACGUGCUGCGGAUCCGGAAGCAGGGGUCUGAGCACCAGGCUUGUGGCUCCCCAGGCCCUCUGGCUUGGCCGAAACACCCGCCCUCUAUGCUUGGUCCCUGAGGUUAAAGGAGGGGGGUGGGGAGGGGGGGGCGACCAGCUCAUUCCCCUCCUUACCUGGGAGUCCCGAUUGCUAUUAUAGAAAUAGAGAGUGCAACCCUUGAGGCCUGCCCAGAAUUUCUUGUAAUCCUGGGGACCAAAGGUAGAGAAAGAGAAGGAGGUGAGAAGGGAAAUCCGGGUACCUCCAUGGCACCCACUCCUGCCUCAGGACCUUGGCACUGGCCGUUUCCUCUGCCUGGAGACUCUUUCCCCAGAUCAUCAGUUUCCUUCAUCACCUGCUUUGGGUCUUUGAACGAACGUCGCCUUCUCUGGGAGGCCCUCCCCAUCCAUGGCCCAACUUCUGGGGAUCUGUUGUUCUUUGAGAAAGGACCAAAGAAUCCUCCUUGAUGGAAUGGGGAAUGCAGAGCAGCGCCCCGCCUCCGCCCCGCCCCUGGCCAGUGUACAGAGCAAAUAUUCCCUGAACAUCUACUCUGCACCCAGUUCUGUUGCAGAGGCAAAAUACGACCUGGGACAUGGCUUCUGUUUCUAAAUAGGUUGUCUUCCAGAAGAAUAUAGAAAGCAUAGAUACUCGGGUGCCUGGGGGGGCUCAGUCGGUUGAGCGUCCAACCUCAGCUCAGGUCACGAUCUCACAGUUCGUGGGUUCGAGCCCCGCGUCGGGCUCUGCGCUGACAGCUCCUCGGAGCCUGGAGCCUGCUU